GCCAGUCAUCACAACCACUACCACAAGAUAUGCACCAGUUUGGAUUUGGCUGGUGUUGACCUGUCAUCACCAACAAUCUCAACAUCAUCACUUGGAUAAACAGCAUCCUGUUUGAUGGAUGGUGGAUUCAACUCUUCAGCAUAUGGAACACUUGUGGAAGCCUGGCUGUAUUUCCCAGGCUUUAAGGUCUAAAGCUGCGUCAACUGAAUGAUUCAGCCGUGCGAUAAAGAUUGAAUGAUGAUGAUCGAUCCCACCGGCUCGAUAAACCCACCGGCCCACCACUUCUGAACACACACGUGAACGGCAUUUGCGUGGCAUUUACCAGCAACAGCAGCAGCAGCACAACCCCCAGUUGGCCAUCGAUGAAUCACCUGGGCGACAUACUUUUCUCUUAUAAGAAAAAAAAGAACACAAAGUUGGUACGCACACACACACACACGUCAUUUGUCUUUUCCUUUCUUUUGUUUCUCGCUUUGCGUGCGUGGCAAUCAUCCAUCCAUCCAAUCCGGAAAUGUCUCUAAUAAUAUAUCAGGGACACACUAUACUCUCCUUCUUUCUCUCUGUCUGCACACAACAGCCCAGUCUCAGCAGCAGUCGUCUUCAUGUAUUCGUGACUGUUUUCAAAUGUUUGGCUGGUUGCUUCUCUGCUCUGCUAGCUGCUGUAUAAAUAUUAGAUUGGAAUCCAUUCCACUUCUGUGUAUAGUACCGAAACUCUCUCGCCCGUCCAAAUAAACAAAAAUCCACUCUG